CUCCUGCAUUUCAUCAAGGCCUUCAAAGGCAGAGGUGUCUCGGAGCUUUUGCCCUGACACUGUGAACCUCCCACCCACCGCAUUGGGAGUGUGGCGUCUUAGCCACUGGGCUACCAGGGAAGUCUUGAAGUGUGAACUUUAAAAUGGUUAUGAUGUUAAAACAAUACACCACAUAGUCACGACUGGAGUAAGAAGCAGAGAAAUGGCUAACAUGGUCUCUGGUCUGGGCUGAUGGUCUUCUAAACCCUCCUCUACCUGGUGUACAUCUGGAGCAUCGACUGGAACCGUGUGGCAGCGCAGGUACCAGCGCAGGGGCCACUGGAGGAGGGGAGUGUGCAUGUGUGUGCGUGCUGUGAUUCCAGGGCAGGCG
rnacentral:lncRNA from 1 species